rnacentral:rRNA from 1 species
GACGAACGCUGGCGGCGUGCUUAACACAUGCAAGUCGAACGGAAAGGCCCUGCUUUUGUGGGGUGCUCGAGUGGCGAACGGGUGAGUAACACGUGAGUAACCUGCCCUUGACUUUGGGAUAACUUCAGGAAACUGGGGCUAAUACCGGAUAGGAGCUCCUGCUGCAUGGUGGGGGUUGGAAAGUUUCGGCGGUUGGGGAUGGACUCGCGGCUUAUCAGCUUGUUGGUGGGGUAGUGGCUUACCAAGGCUUUGACGGGUAGCCGGCCUGAGAGGGUGACCGGCCGCAUUGGGACUGAGAUACGGCCCAGACUCCUACGGGACGCAGCAGUGGGAAAUAUUGCACAAUGGGCGGAAGCCUGAUGCAGAAACGCCGCGUGCGGGAUAACGGCCUUCGAGUUGUAAACCGCUUUCGCCUGUGACGAAGCGUGAGUGACGGUAAUGGGUAAAGAAGCACCGGCUAACUACGUG